rnacentral:sRNA from 1 species
CCAUGGUUGAUGGUGGUCAGACCUCUACCAGGAGUACUGGGACAAGAGGCCUGGGAAGCUGAUGGACAGAAUAUUUACCACCCUGCAAGGAGAAGGCCAUCCACUACUCCACUGCUCUGGCCAGCAAGAACAUCUUGUCCUUUGUUUGCUGUGACCAACUCAACCCCCUGCUGCUGGAGCCUGGCCUGGCAUCUAUCCUAGGCAGAAGGCCAGGCUUUCCCAAAUCCAGCAAGCACAUCGUGAGCAGCCUUGGGAUUCAGAAGGCUGGAGUGGCAGACAUCUGGCCCAGCUGGGCACAGACCCCCAAGGCGUUGUUCACCAGGGCUCAGUUCCAACCAUUACUGUGAUGUCACACACCGUCAAGGUAAAACAACUCGGUGACCCCGGUAUGUUCUCACCCACUUUUCCAUGCCAGUCCUCCUCUCUCCCCAUGCCUGGUGACAACUCUUUAUUACCCUCUAUGUAUCUAUCUAUCUGUGUGUGUAUGUAUAUUUGUAUGU